rnacentral:rRNA from 1 species
AGUGAAGCGGCAACAGCUCAAAUUUGAAAUCUGGCCCCAGGCCCGAGUUGUAAUUUGUAGAGGAUGCUUUUGGUGCGGUGCCUUCUGAGUUCCCUGGAACGGGACGCCAGAGAGGGUGAGAGCCCCGUAUAGUUGGACACCUAGCCUCUGUAAAGCUCCUUCGACGAGUCGAGUAGUUUGGGAAUGCUGCUCUAAAUGGGAGGUAAAUUUCUUCUAAAGCUAAAUACCGGCUGGAGACCGAUAGCGCACAAGUAGAGUGAUCGAAAGAUGAAAAGCACUUUGAAAAGAGGGUUAAACAGCACGUGAAAUUGUUGAAAGGGAAGCGCUUGUGACCAGACUUGUGCCCAGCUAAUCAUCCGGCGUUCUCGCCGGUGCACUUGGCUGGGUCCAGGCCAGCAUCGGUUUUCCUAGGGGGAUAAAAGCGCUGGGAACGUAGCUCCCUCGGGAGUGUUAUAGCCCGGCGCACAAUACCUCUGGGGGGACCGAGGACCGCGCAUUGCAAGGAUGCUGGCGUAAUGGUCAUCAGCGACCCGUCUUGAAACACGGACCAAGGAGUCAAGCAUUAGGGCGAGUGUUUGGGUGUUAAACCCGCACGCGUAAUGAAAGUGAAUGCCGGUGAGAGCUUCGGCGCAUCAUCGACCGAUCCUGAUGUAUUCGGAUGGAUUUGAGUAAGAGCCUUACCGCUUGGACCCGAAAGAUGGUGAACUAUGCUUGUAUAGGGUGAAGCCAGAGGAAACUCUGGUGGAGGCUCGCAGCGGUUCUGACGUGCAAAUCGAUCGUCAAAUAUGAGCAUGGGGGCGAAAGACUAAUCGAACCAUCUAGUAGCUGGUUACCGCCGAAGUUUCCCUCAGGAUAGCAGUGUUGUUUUCAGUUUUAUGAGGUAAAGCGAAUGAUUAGGGACUC